rnacentral:snRNA from 1 species
GUGAAACUCAGCAGCACAUAUACUAAAAUUGGAACGAUACAGAGAAGAUUAGCAUGGCCCCUGUUCAAGGAUAACACGCAAAUUGGUGAAGCAUUCUAUAUUUUU